GCCGGGCGCGGUGGCUCACGCCUGUAAUCCUAGCACUUUGGGAGGCCGAGGCGGGUGGAUCGCCUGAGGUUAGGAGAUCAGCCUGACCAAUACGGUGAAACCCCGUCUCUA
rnacentral:SRP_RNA from 1 species